CGAGUGGAACAUACGGCGGCGGGACAGCUCGCAAGAGCUGCCUGAGGAAAGUCCGGGCUUCACAGAGGCGUAGCAACUGCUAACGGCAGCCGGGGGUGACCCCAGGGAUAGUGCAACAGAAAGAAACCGCCGUGCUUUGGCACGGUAAGGAUGGAAAGGCGAGGUAAGAGCUCACCAGCGCACUGGCGACUUUGCGGCUAUGUAAACCCUGCUUGAAGCAACAUCCGUAUGGGACAUUAUGCGGAGCCUCGCGCGUCCCGGUGAUGGCGUGAGCCUUGCGGCGACGCAAGGCCAAGAUAGAUCGUCGUUUGAUACAGAACCCGGCUUACGGUCCAGUCGUUUU
rfam:Subdoligranulum variabile DSM 15176 genomic scaffold Scfld0, whole genome shotgun sequence.